rnacentral:lncRNA from 1 species
GUGUGUGUGCUCCUAUUACACUCCAUUGCAGUUGCUUUUCCCAUGACUGUCUUCCACUCUAGAUGGCCCCGAGGGCCUGUAUAAUGAGACCUUGACUCUCCUGGACUGCAUCGAAUUGUAAUGCACUUUAUUGUUCGGUGACUAUUUGGAUUUUAAUGCCAUCAUGCCCUGGAUGGCCUCGCCUGACAAUCUGGAAGCCUGAGGGAAAAGAUGACAUUUUCACCAGUAUUAUUAGGAAGGAUGGGAACAGGGCUCGCAUCUUUAAUUCACUGAGAUCUGUGUGUGGCUGAGAACACUGACGUGCCUGCGGGCAUAUGGCUUACAAUGUGGAGAUGGAUCUUAUUGCUGCUGGAAGCAUCCCUGAAGCCUAGAGAUAUCCCUCGCUCUCCUUUGGAUGUAGAGACAAGCAGAUCUGCGGAUGCAAGAUGGUUGCCAAGAUUAAUAUUGCUGAGGAGAGAAGAGAGACAAAACUGACCUCAACUAGGGAGGGAGUGAGGGAUGAUAUGUGGAGAAGCUGGGUGAGCAUGUGCCCUGUGAAGGCAAAAAACAUGGAAAGUGAGCGAAAACCACCAAACAUGGACUGUAAUUAGGGACCCCCUCUGGCGGAUUUCAGGUGAGAAAAGUACCUCAUGCCUUUUUGAUGUCUACAGCCUUGGUCCCUGAGGGAUUCACCUGAGUUACUUAGUGGCAGCAACUACAUCCACAUAGCCAUCAUCUUUCAUCUAGACUGGAUUCCUAACUGCCACUCUUGUCUUUCUCUCAUCCUUUCCCCACCUAACAGCUGAGAGGGACCUUUUAGAAGUAUAAAUCAUAUUAUGAGCCUCCCCUGUUGGAAACCAUCCAAAGCCCUCCAUCCUACGUAGAACCAAAUACAG